UGGGGAAUCUUGCGCAAUGGGCGAAAGCCUGACGCAGCAACGCCGCGUGCGGGAUGAAGGCCUUCGGGUUGUAAACUCCUUUCGGGUGGGACGAUGCUGACGGUACCACCAGAAGAAGCACCGGCUAACUACGUGCCAGCAGCCGCGGUAAUACGUAGGGUGCAAGCGUUAAUCGGAAUUACUGGGCGUAAAGCGUGCGCAGGCGGUUAUAUAAGUCAGGUGUGAAAUCCCCGGGCCCAACCUGGGCAC
rnacentral:rRNA from 1 species